rnacentral:rRNA from 1 species
CCUACGGGUGGCAGCAGUGGGGAAUAUUGCACAAUGGGCGCAAGCCUGAUGCAGCCAUGCCGCGUGUGUGAAGAAGGCCUUCGGGUUGUAAAGCACUUUCAGCGGGGAGGGAGGCGGUGAGGUUAAUAACCUCAUCGAUUGACGUUACCCGCAGAAGAAGCACCGGCUAACUCCGUGCCAGCAGCCGCGGUAAUACGGAGGGUGCACGCGUUAAUCGGAAUUACUGGGCGUAAAGCGCACGCAGGCGGUCUGUCGAGUCGGAUGUGAAAUCCCCGGGCUCAACCUGGGAACUGCAUUCGAAACUGGCAGGCUAGAGUCUUGUAGAGGGGGGUAGAAUUCCAGGUGUAGCGGUGAAAUGCGUAGAGAUCUGGAGGAAUACCGGUGGCGAAGGCGGCCCCCUGGACAAAGACUGACGCUCAGGUGCGAAAGCGUGGGGAGCAAACAGGAUUAGAUACCCUGGUAGUC